UCCCUGGUGGCUCAGAGGUUAAAGUGUCUGCCUGAAAUGUGGGAGAUCUGGGUUCGAUUCCUGAUUCGGGAA
rnacentral:tRNA from 1 species